rnacentral:piRNA from 1 species
UUUGUAGGUAACUGCUAUGAUGAUUGC